UACGUAGGUGGCAAGCGUUGUCCGGAUUUACUGGGCGUAAAGGGCUUGUAGGCGGUUCGUUAAGUCUGGUGUGAAAUCUCCCGGCUCAACUGGGAGGGGUCAUCGGAUACUGGCGGACUUGAGGUAGGUAGAGGAAAGCAGAAUUCCUGGUGUAGCGGUGAAAUGUGUAGAUAUCAGGAGGAAUACCAGUGGCGAAGGCGGCUUUCUGGGCCUAUCCUGACGCUGAGGAACGAAAGCUAGGGGAGCAAACAGG
rnacentral:rRNA from 1 species